UACGUAGGGUGCAAGCGUUGUCCGGAAUUAUUGGGCGUCAAGAGCUCGUAGGCGGUCUGUCGCGUCGGCUGUGAAAUCCCGGAGCUCAACUCCGGGCCUGCAGUCGAUACGGGCAGACUGGAGUUCGGCAGGGGAGACUGGAAUUCCUGGUGUAGCGGUGAAAUGCGCAGAUAUCAGGAGGAACACCGGUGGCGAAGGCGGGUCUCUGGGCCGAUACUGACGCUGAGGAGCGAAAGCGUGGGGAGCGAACAGG
rnacentral:rRNA from 1 species